GAUCGUAUAUAGCCUGAUAAUCGAUAUUUAAUAUCAACAUAAUAUCUUAAUUCGUGUUUUAGUCCAUAUCAGUUGGUAGUUGCUGUCAGGCACGUAUACAAAGGAGAGGUUUGGAGUUCAACUCCCUCCUCGAAAAUGAAUAGUUGUGUAAUUUAUUUAAAUCAAUUUAAUACUUUUUUAUAAAUAUUCAUUAUUGUAAUUUUUUUAUAAAUCCCUCCGAAUUUUUUUCCUGUUCCGUGCCUGGUUGCUGUAGUUUGUAACUCAUCUAUGUAUAUGAAAAUUAGUUAUUAAGUAGUUAAUUAUAAACGUUAUAGAGGAUGUGACUAAAACAAAUCGUUUCUUUAGUCCAGCUG